CGGGGCGUGGUGUAACGGUAACAUGCACCCUUCGGGAGGGUGAGAUUUCUGGGUUCGAAUCCCAGCGCCCCGA
rnacentral:tRNA from 1 species